rnacentral:SRP_RNA from 13 species
GACGGGUGCAGUGGCAUGUACCUGUAAUCCAAGUCACGCUGAGGUUGGUGGAUCAAGUGAGCUGAGGAGCUCUGAGCUGCAGCACGCUAUGUUGAAUGGGUUUCCACGCUAAGUUCGGUAUCGAUAUGGUGUUCCUGGGGGAGCCCGGUACCACCAGGUUGUCUAAGGAUGGGUGAACCGGCCCAGGUCGGAAACGAAGCAGGUCAAAUCCCCCGUGCGGUCCAGUAGUGGGAUAAUACCUGUGAGUAGAUGCUGCAGUGCAGCCUUGGCAAAACAUUGAGACUUAAUCUUUU